GCGUCAGCUGAAGCAUGUUUACACAUGCAGUCRCACGAACCUUUCGGGGUUAGUGGCGGACGGGUGAGUAACGCGUAGGAAUCUGUCCACGGGUGGGGGAUAACUCUGGGAAACUGGAGCUAAUACCGCAUGAUACCUGAGGGUCAAAGGCGCAAGUCGCCUGUGGAGGAGCCUGCGUUCGAUUAGCUAGUUGGUGGGGUAAAGGCCUACCAAGGCGAUGAUCGAUAGCUGGUUUGAGAGGAUGAUCAGCCACACUGGGACUGAGACACGGCCCAGACUCCUACGGGAGGCAGCAGUGGGGAAUAUUGGACAAUGGGGGCAACCCUGAUCCAGCAAUGCCGCGUGUGUGAAGAAGGUCUUCGGAUUGUAAAGCACUUUCGACGGGGACGAUGAUGACGGUACCCGUAGAAGAAGCCCCGGCUAACUUCGUGCCAGCAGCCGCGGUAAUACGAAGGGGGCUAGCGUUGCUCGGAAUGACUGGGCGUAAAGGGCGUGUAGGCGGUUUACACAGUCAGAUGUGAAAUCCCCGGGCUUAACCUGGGAGCUGCAUUUGAUACGUGUAGACUAGAGUGUGAGAGAGGGUUGUGGAAUUCCCAGUGUAGAGGUGAAAUUCGUAGAUAUUGGGAAGAACACCGGUGGCGAAGGCGGCAACCUGGCUCAUUACUGACGCUGAGGCGCGAAAGCGUGGGGAGCAAACAGGAUUAGAUACCCUGGUAGUCCACGCUGUAAACGAUGUGUGCUAGAUGUUGGGUAACUUUGUUAUUCAGUGUCGCAGUUAACGCGUUAAGC
rnacentral:rRNA from 1 species